rnacentral:rRNA from 1 species
GACGAACGCUGGCGGCGUGCUUAACACAUGCAAGUCGAGCGAGGUCCAACCGGUGGCAACACCGGGGAAGACCGAGCGGCGAACGGGUGAGUAACACGUGAGCAACCUGCCCCGAAGACUGGGAUAACACCGGGAAACCGGUGCUAAUACCGGAUACCCCCGUCAGGUCGCAUGACCCGACGAGGAAAUGGAUUUCCGCUUCGGGAGGGGCUCGCGGGCUAUCAGCUUGUUGGUGGGGUAACGGCCUACCAAGGCAACGACGGCUAGCUGGUCUGAG